UUCCUAAAUCGGGAUUGGCCCCUAAGAGCUUUGCACACAUGGAUUGUGCAAUAUUUGCCCAUUUAUUAUUUUCAAAAUUCUUCAAGCUCUGACAGUUUGGUUGGUGAUCAUUGCUAGACUGCCAUUUUCAAGUCUCACCAUAGAUUUUCAAGCAGAGUUAAGUCAAAACUCUAACUAGGCCACUCAGGAGCAUUCACUGUCUUCUUGGUAAGCAACAGCAGAUUCUGUCUUGUGUUUAGGUCAUUGUUUUGCUGAAAGGUGAAUCUCUGGAGUCUCUGGAGAAAAGCAGACUGAACCUGUUUUUUCCUCUUGGAUUUUGCCUGUGCUUAGCUCCAUUCUGUUUCUUUUAUCCUGAAAAUCUCCCCAGUCCCUGUGGUAUGGCCAUUCCUCUAGACAAUGCCAUGAAUUGUGAUUGAUCACAAGCUGUGCUCUGGCACCAGCAAGCCACUGACGUUGUCUUCAUCACAGUCUUUAUCACAGGUCAUUCUCUCACCCUCUCUCCCCCUACAGUAAGUAGUAGGCUGAACAACGUUAGCUUAACUUUUACAAAUGUGUCCAUAUAUUGGUCUUUAGUGCCACCUAUUGGUUAAAAUUGCGGAUGGCUACAUCAAAUCGUUUCUCAAUUUCAGUUAAUAGCGUAUGCCAGGCUCACACAAACACAGCUCACUAAACAGAUUAAGCUACCGACAAACCAGCGUGGGCGUGCGUGUGAGUUUCUGUGUACAUACAGUGUAUAAUCUGGUGCCGCCCUUCUUGGUGCCAGCCAGAGAGUCUCUCUAAGUCUUAUGAAAACCUGUUACUAACCAGACCGAACAUGUUCUACUUCUGGCAUUUCCUCUGCCCUUUCUUCCUCCUGUCAGCCAUGGCCACUGCGGCACCUCUUGGGCAGGAUGUGGACCCAGCUGACCCAGAGGUACAGGCCUGUGUUGCCUUCGGCAUCAAGAGCUUCAACUUCCACAGCCAGACUCAUCAGCUCCACAACAUUACCAAGUUCCACUCUGUCCACAGAGAGGAGGUCGGUGCAGGUCAGUACGAUAUUGAUGUGGAGGUGAGAGGUUGCCAGUCCUCCUUCUGUUCUCCAGACAAUUCCAACACCCAGGUAUGCCUCAA
rnacentral:lncRNA from 13 species